ensembl:lncRNA
GCCUGUUAACACGUAGGGGCAGAGAGAGAUGGGCGGAGACGUAGUUAAGGUGAUACCAGUGUACAUACCAGUGUACAUGGCUUUGGAUAAUGCGGCGAAUCGUGGUUUAACAAUAGAAAGCAAGGUUUAGGACUUGUGGAAUUGUGAGACAGAGUAAGACAGGAAGUUACGGGAGAGAGAGGGGAAGACAUGCAGCAACGGACCACGGGCAGGUAUCGUACCCCGGAGGACUGCGGUGAGGACUAGGCCUUAAUGGUUCGCCCUCGACCCGGUGAACCACCUGGUCGCCCCCUGUUAUCAUUUAUUAAUAAGGUUACUCUACACCGUGUUCUCCCACAUGCCAACCCUGUCUUUGUAUUUGCUAAAUCACCCUGAGGCCCUUCAUCUGUCCCCGUGGGUCCAGUAGUCCAACCAAACGUCUGUUUAGAGAGAGACAGUGGUCACAACCUUCUCCCGGUCAGCAGGACUUUUUGGGGCACAGCGCCGUAAACCCAGAAGGAGAGUUCAUAACCCCGUCGGCAUGUACCCCCGGAGAAGAGGGGAGAGAAGAGGGGAAAACAUGAAAAGAGAGGCAGAAGGGUGGGCGAAAGAGGACAUUCAAGGAAAGAGGAAAAAACAACAGGAGCCGUUCAGUCUGUACAGUCCUGCUCCAGUUUUCACCCGUCAAACAAAGAGCUGGCGGUUAGGUUUCUCUCCGCCCCCCCCAUUUCUCUGUCUCUCUUUUUGCUGUCCCUCUCUCUCUUUCUCUGUCUUUUUCUCCUUUUGUACAAGUGUGGAAAGCCUGUGUGACCUUGUAGUGCCAGAUCACCUGGAGACAAGAGUCUCUGUCUUCCAUCAAACGAUCAUCCUCCUCCAAUGAAAGCACCGUUACUGAUCAUGAAGUGUCCUUGUGUACUGAUCAUCACUGGUCUGGUCUUUGACCAUCAGGGGGUCAAGUAUUAGUGGAAAUAAAAUAAAAACAACUUGGACGUCCCCAUACCUCUCACUAAUGCAUUCUGUGAAAAGGAAAAGUUCACUCCAUUAGAGAGUAAUUGCAAAAACUGUGAAAAUGACACUUCAGUCGGUCAACAUAUUCGUUAGCUUGCCAAAAAGUGGAACUAUAGUAUAACAAUAAAUCUGUUGAUGCCAGCUAUGAAUAUGUCUGCCUGUCCAAGCGCACAAUUGCUUUUGCCAAGUGACCCAAGCCCAAUUAAUAUUUCGCCCUUCAUUCAUAGACCCGAUGUUACCUUAGCUAACCCAGGAUUUUUCGCGUAACAUCU